AUAGUUCCUAUUUUAUAAAUGGAGAGAUGAGGCCCUGAGAGCUCUUAUAUGGUAGAACCAGGAUUUGGAUCCAAGUUUGUCUGGUCUGGAGUCCAUGUACUUUCUAUUCUGCACUACUGCUUCUGAAGAGUGGAUUGACAAUUAUUCUCUGGACUUUUUGGUAACCAAGAACUUCUAGCAACUAACCCUGGCAUGACCACCAGAAUCUGCAGGGCUGAGAGAAGAAAGAAAGGCAAAAGUGGAUGAAUGCAGCUGAAGAUGCUGUGGAACUCCUAUCACAUUCCAAGUGCUGUGUUGAUAUCUGGAGAUAUAGACAAGAUCGAAGCAGAUGCAGUCUUUCACAUGAAUAUUUGAAUCAGGCAGUAUGUUCCCCAAAUUAGCAAAGUAUCUCCCAGAUUUUUUCUUUGAUGAUAUAUUUGAAAUCCUAAUGCUGAAAGUUAAAUUAUCAGGGUUUUAAAACUAGAAGCAGUCAUUAUCAGAAUUUUAUAUACUAUUUAUUUUUAAGAACGUAAUUUGACUGUUUAAGUCUUAUUAUAAUUUUAAGUGAAGUACUUUGGGCAGUCAUAAAUAAAGUAAUGGGCAGGUAUUUAGUAUUCAUAUUGUGUGGAUUCAUAUCCAUACUCUGCCACUCAGUAUCUCUGGGAUUUUGAUGAAUGAUCAAACUCUCUGAGCCUCAGUUUUCUAAUCUGUAAAGCAGAAAUGAUAAUGGUAUGUAGUGAUAAUUAAACAAUUUACUAGU
rnacentral:lncRNA from 10 species